UCUUCUUCUUCCGUCUUAUUGUUUAACUUCAUGGGAUUGUUCCGAUGAUGAAGAUGAGAUAAGGGUUUGGUGUUGCCAUCCUUCUUCAAGCCCAUCAGAAACGAUCCUGGAAGGCUUGGCAUUCCUGUAAAUCGCAUAGAGGACUAGCUGUGCAGUUCCAAGUAAAAAUCCAGCCCCAUUUGGAACCCCAAGAAAAUAAUCACCUGUGAGAAUAGCAAAUAAAGUCCAAAUCCCUCCGUUCAAGAAAAGGAAGAAGGAAAGGAGGAAGGGCAUGAACUCAACACUCUUGGUGGUGACCACUGUUUUCAUGGCAGCAAGAGGCGAACCAUACAUAACAAUAUUGAGGCCAGCACAUAUGAACCCCGUUGCAUCAAUCCGCACUUGACCCUGCAAUGCUAGACGGGUAACCAGAAUUGCUGCUGCUAGGAAACCCACAUCCAAGAGCCCAAGAAGAAUCCACGUUUUAGCCCUCAUUUUUGGUGGUGCAUAUAUAAGGAAUAGAGUUACGUAGACGAUUUCCACCAGGAUCCCAAAACCAUUGACAGUGGCAACUGGGAAGGCUCCUGGCUUGAUGAUCCCAUAGUAGGUCCAUAAAGCUGCGCUCAGUAACGUGCACACGUAAGGAAUACUCUCGAAAUCCUCUGUGCAUCCGUGCUUUACUAUUCUCCAAAAGGUUCCAGCUGGAGAAAGAAACAUGAGCACUGAGAUCACAUUGCCUAUGACUCCAAAAAGCAAACUCAAGAUUUCCAUUCUAGGAAAUUAAUAUAGUUCUUCAAUUUUGUAAAAUGGCAGAGACUAAAGUACUGA
rnacentral:misc_RNA from 1 species